UGCUAUUAAAAAUGUUGCUGGGAAAUUAC
rnacentral:piRNA from 1 species